rnacentral:rRNA from 1 species
AUUGAACGCUGGCGGCAUGCCUUACACAUGCAAGUCGAACGGCAGCAUAGGUGCUUGCACCUGAUGGCGAGUGGCGAACGGGUGAGUAAUGCAUCGGAACGUACCGUGUAAUGGGGGAUAACGUAGCGAAAGUUACGCUAAUACCGCAUACGACCUGAGGGUGAAAGCAGGGGAUCGCAAGACCUUGCGUUAUACGAGCGGCCGAUGCCAGAUUAGCUAGUUGGUGAGGUAAAGGCUCACCAAGGCGACGAUCUGUAGCGGGUCUGAGAGGAUGAUCCGCCACACUGGGACUGAGACACGGCCCAGACUCCUACGGGAGGCAGCAGUGGGGAAUUUUGGACAAUGGGGGAAACCCUGAUUCAGCCAUGCCGCGUGAGUGAAGAAGGCCUUCGGGUUGUAAAGCUCUUUCGGCCGGGAAGAAAUCGCACAGGCUAAUACUCUGUGUGGAUGACGGUACCGGCAUAAGAAGCACCGGCUAACUACGUGCCAGCAGCCGCGGUAA